GGCAGCACAUAUACUUUAAAAAAAAAUUGGAAUGAUACAGAGAAGAUUAGCAUGGUCCUUGUACAAAUAUGAUGUGCAAAUUUGUAACUCAAGAAUCCCUCCC